CAAAAGGAUUUUUUCAAAUCCUUAAUUGACUUUAAAAAAUAGAUU
rfam:Ophiophagus hannah scaffold1070.1, whole genome shotgun sequence.